GGCCAGCUAUAUAAAGAGGGCAGUUAUCUGCUAGCAAGGGAGGCAGCAACAUCAGUUAACUGAGCUUCUGUGUGGGGACCUGGAGGUGAAAGCUCCUGCUGGGCUGGGUGUAGCAGGUGAUUGGAAUGGGUGGACUGCCCAGAGACACGGGAAGAUUGGAGGCAGAGACAUGACUGGGAAGGCUUACCUCAUUGGUCAUCGUCCUCUUGAUGGCUGGGACUGCAAUAGACUGAAGAUGAAAUGUUACAGAUCUCUGCAGGGAAUAAACCUUGUAAGAAGCUGCUGAUGGCCCUCUCUCUCUACUUACCUACUAACCUCAUGAUCCCAGCUGCUCUCACAGCAUUUCCAAGCCAGAAAGCAGGACCAGAACCUAAGACUUCCAGCCCUAGUCAGCAGGUCCUUGAGCUCUGUUCAGGUGAAGUCAGAUGAAGCUCAGAUUGCAGAGAAUUCAUUCAAACCCUGCCUUCAAACUCUCAGUUUCCCCAUUCAUCACCUGUAAACACAUACACAUUCAUGCAUAUGCCUGCAUGGGGGGGAGAGAUGCUUGUGGCCCUUCUAAAACAGAAAGUUGCUUUACCUGGGUGCCUGUACAUGUCACAGGGUUUAGUCCUUAUUAAAGUAAAUAGGUUUAUAAAAUUUAAAAUUGUUUGACCCUUUUAUGUAAAGAAAAGAACAAGAUCACUCUG